AGGAGAUAGAAGGUCAGAUAAUUGACCAAAGAUGAUACAAAAUCCUUGACAGCUACAAAGAAGCACCCAGAAAAUAAAUACUGUGUACAACCUUCUACUGUGUCUCAAGUGAGCUUCAGAAGUAUUUCAAAGGAAAUUAAGUGUGAAAAGGAACUGGAAGUCCAUACGCAUGAUGUGUAGGUAAGGGAAGCUACCACAUCGGAAACACAUGGUUAAAAGACUCACAUAUAAGAAAAGGCUUUGAUGACAGCAGCUUGGAGUGAAUCCUCAUUGGAGAGCUGGUGUUCACCACAUCAGACAAAGAGCUGGGAAAACAGUGCUGUACCCCUUCCCAGCAGAAGUCUUCUUCCAUGGCUCAGUGGCUGAGCAUCACAUCUCUCACGGGGAACAACACCACUAGCCCCGUGAUGGUGAACAUUGCCUCUUUCAUUCUCUUCUUUUGAUAACUGAGAAAGAAUAAACCUCUGUCCUUGGAUAAUGGAGAUACAGGAUGAGGGAGGAGGCAGCAGCAAAAUUUUCAGCCUUGCUCAACUUCUUUGCUCUCUCUGUGGUCACCUCUGGGGGUCAGUUCAGAGUGAUAUGGAUGCUGUGAACUGCCUUCUGGAGAAUCCAUCUCCAAAGGGAGCCUGGAGACAUCAGCUUCAUGUCCCUCACAUUAGCUUUUGAGAAUAUCAGUACUUGGCUGUAACCCAGGGCACAGGGCUGUGAUGGCUGUGUGAGGCAUCAUCCACUACAGCAUACAGAUAUGCUCAACUGGAGUCCAGGGACAAGUCUGCACUGGACUCUGACUCUGGGGGCUGGAGAACCUCCUCUACGAAGACAGGCUGAGGGAGCUGGGCUUGUUCAGCCUCUAGAAAAGAAGGCUGCAGGGUGAUCUAAUUGCAGCCUUUCAGUAUCUAAAGGGAGCCUAUAAACAGGAGGGGAGUCAACUCUUUGAAACGGUAGAUAACAGCAGGACAAGGGAAAACAGUUUUAAGUUGAGAGAGGGAAGAUUUAGGUUGGAUGUCAGGGGGAAGUUCUUUACUAUGAGAGUGGUGAGGUGCUGGAACAGGCUGCCCAGAUAGGUUGUGGAUGCCCCGUCCCUGGAGGUGUUCAAGGCCAGGUUGGAUGGGGCCCUGGGCAGCCUGGUCUAGUAUUAAAGGGGUAUGUUGGUGGCCCUGCCUGUGACAGGGGGUUGGAGAUUCAUGAUUCAUGAUCCUUGAGGUCCCUUCCUACCCAGGCCAUUCUGUGAUUCUGUGAUUCUGACAGCGCCUGAAUUUAUACACUGGGGAUCAGUGAGGUCGCUGUCAUCUCACACUGACAUCACAACCCCUUGGUUGGCAACCUCACAGCCCAUGCCCAUCACUGCAUGUAUUUGGGCACCAGCCUGGGCCUCCAUCACCCUCUAUCAUUCAGUGAUUUUCCUUUGUAAUGGUGAUAAAUUUGGGAAAAUAAAAAUUGCAUCAUUACUAUCUCCACAGUGAUCCAUCUUCCAUGAACUGUUUACACUUUCUG
ensembl:lncRNA